GGCUAGAGAUUGAGUGUCGCGAUCGGAGAGACGGUUGAGACAGGCGAUGACUCGCUGCUUGAGAUCAGUAACCGUCCUCGGCGGUGAAACAGACGGAGACGAGCGCAUUUGAACGGAAGGCAUAAAGUUUCAAGCAAGAAAAAUAGGUAAGGAAAUAGAUAUGGCGGCAGAAUGAAGAAAAAAAAAAGGCAAUGAAGAUGAAAGUUUGGUUAGUACUUGCCUUUUAAACAAGACUCCUCUUUGCCUUGCCUUUUAAACAAGUCCAGUUUUCACCCCCUUCCAACCAAAUUUUUGUUUUACAUUUACUCUAUACAAAAUUAUAUUAUUAUUUUAAAUUACUCAUAAAAAUAGAUCCCCCAAAAAAUUCGUGACAACUCCAUAAUUUCCUUCUUCGUAAGAAUAUGUCAAAUAUAAAUUAUCAGACAAAGGCUUCUGUUUUUUAUUAAUGUUUUAUUAUUACAUCAAAAUAGAUUUCUUUUUAGUAUACCAACAAAGAUUCCAUAACGUGCGCAGAGAAUAGUUACGUAAAUCUUCUGCGUAUAUCUACUUUAUUAAAACAGAAGUACACUUAGAAAAUAACUAGGGCUGUUCAAUAUGGUAAAACCGAACCGUACCGAACCGAACCGAACCGAAAUAGACAAUAUGGUUUGGUUUUGGUAUAUACCAUAUAAACCGAAUGGAUAUAAUUUUAUAAAAACCGUAGGAUUUGGAUAUGGUUUGGUAUAUAACCGAUUAAACCGAAUAAACCGAACAAAACCGAUUAAAAGUAGAAACAUGUAAAUAUGUAUCUAUUUUAUAACAAUACAUGAAAAUCUAUUUGUUACAUAAGUUAAAUUUGUGUUAAUAACUAUUACCAUAAUUUUAUAGUAAUAAAAAAUGAAUCUACUCAAUGAAAUGCAUGUGAUCUAUGCAAAGAUACAAAUUUAUUCUUCUUUUUUUCUUUAGCCAUCACACGCUAAUUUAAAAACUAAAUGUAGAAAUUUUGGUUGUUUGGGUUUGAGUUUGUUAAUUGGAUGAAGACAUAUAUAAAUUAUUGUACAUUUAAAAAAAAAAAACAUGACAUUAUAUAAUACAUUAGUUCUUUUAUAUGCCCUUGUUUGGAACUUACAGUUUUUUUUUAAUAUAUAUAUAUAUAUAUAUAUAUAUAUUUAUUAAUUUAACCCGAAAAACAAAAAUCUCUAUUAUUAAAAGAGAAGUACCUAUAAAAAAUAACCCUAAAAGUUACACAAUAUUUACAUUCAAAUGCCAUUGAGAAUUAAAUUAAUCUUAUAUUAAAAAUGAUUGUCUUUUUCACAUAUUAAUUGUUUUCCUAAAAUAACUCAAACAAACUACAAAAUAAAGAAACAUAUUAUUAAUAACUCAAACAACUACAUAUUAUUAAAUAAAAGAACAAGCAUAAAUAAUUUCCCUGCAAUAUCGACACUGUAAUAUUGCUUAUUAUAUGAGUCCGAUCCUUAGCUUAUGUAACCUGUACGAACAUCAAAUUAUAUAAGCUUUAUAAGAAAUUAAACUAAUAAAAACUAACAAUGAUUUUCAUAUGAGUUUGAAGUUUGAACAAUUUCAUUUCACUUUAUUUCACGGUGGUGUCUGCAGCUUAUUUGUAACCACCUUAUUAUAUUGAAAUAUUUCACUGACUUCUAUAUGUCCAAAUAAUUAAUAAUCAUUAUUAUUAAUUAAAAUCUAAUAUUUUUGAAUCGAAAAUCUUUUUCCCUCCGUCCCCAACAAUCUUCUACUUAGACUUCGAAAAAAAAAAUAGAAACAUUUGCAGAAUCUACUAAUUUGUUUCUAAACAAGAUUUCCCCUUCAAUUUCGGAACAAAGAAGAUAUAUAUAAAAUUUGAUCCAUAACUACUAAAAUAAACGCAAUAUUCGAAUUUCACCAAUAUAAUCUUACUCUUUCCUAUUUUGUUGGUUUCACAAUAACACACAAUAAACAAAAUAUUCUACAUAUUAAUGCAAACAAGAGAUGCCUUGCGAGGGUGGUUAAGAUAUUUCCUCAACUUUAAGGUUUUGUAUUGCGUUAAAAAAUUUGACCCACACACUUGCGGAACAAGCACAAGAUCUUAUCAUUUCCUAUUUCAAGAUCUUAAUUCUAGGAUCUUCUCUAUAUCCUCUUGGAUGACGUCUUAUCUGAGUUUAUCCAAGUUCCAACCCCUUCCAUUAUUUAAAACAUAAUCACUAACCUUACUGUUAGUAUUGACUUCUCCUCGUGAUCUUGGAGGUCUUGGUGGGUGAAGACUUAGCCAGGAAUCCGUCCACAUCUUUGUUGACUCCCCAUUGCCAAUGAUGUAUCUCAUUCCUUUAACUAUCAAAUCCUUUCCAUGGAGAAUUGAUUUCCAGGCAUAAGAAGAUUUUUUCUUUAGAGUAGCUUUUAGGAUAUCACCAUCUGGAAAGUAGCGUGCUCUCAAAACUCUUGCCAUCAAACAAUUUGGAUUUUGCAUUAUUCUCCAAACUUGUUUUCCUAAAAGUGCUUGAUUGAAAGAUUCAAGAUCCCUGAAUCCAAGACCUCCUUCUCUCUUUGGAAUGCAUACCCUUUUCCAAGCAUACCAAUGUAGACCCUUUGACUCUCCUGUGCCCCACCAGAAUCGUGCUAGUAUAGCAUUGAUUUCCUCACAAACUUCCUUUGGUAAGCGGAAUCCAAGACAUGCCUUCUUAUACAAAGGAGCUAACUCUUCUUCAGCCGUAGCUACUCUAGCCACGGCCUCCGCAGCAGCUUUCCUCGCAUGCCAAUCAUCGCUGCUUAGAAACUCCAACACGUUAGGUAAUAGCCAAUCUAGAACCGCCUUGUCGCUGUUUCUGCCUCCAAUGGCGCCGAUUACGCUUCCUAUGGCUCCUAGAAGUUCAGGUUUCGCCUUGAAACCUUCCGAUUUGAGCAACUUCCCGAUCUUCGGAAGCGCUUUUUGCAACUGCUCGACAUCAGGAUCAUCAGCCGCGUCUAUAGCCGCCGCAAGGCACACCGCGGCUCCUAUCUGCGCGUUGGCAUCGCAGUCGUGGAUCAAGGCUUCGAUCAUUGGUCCGGCGAGGACAGAGAAGGGCAGUUCGGUGAUGUUGGUGGUCAUAUCCACGGAAGCGGUUGCGCAAGCGGCGCGGACGGAGGAAUCAGGAUCGCGGAGACGGCGGAGGAUAGUGGAGACCAUCUUCGGGAGGUGAGGAGCGAGGGAGUCUCCAUGGGAACGAGAGAGUAAGGAGAUGAGCGAGACGCAGUGUUUCCUAACUGGAGAUUUCGCUGAAGAGUCUGUGGUUUGGAGACAGUUUAUGAAGAGGGAGAAGGCCUCCGGUGAGAGGUUGAGAGCGAUUGAGUCGAGCUCUGCGGCGGCUAGAGAUUGAGUGUCGCGAUCGGACAGACGGUUGAGACAGGCGAUGACUCGCUGCUUGAGAUCAGUAACCGUCCUCGGCGGUGAAACAGACGGAGACGAACGCAUUUGAACGGAAGGCAUAAAGUUUCAAGCAAGAAAAAUAGGUAAGGAAAUAGAUAUGGCGGCAGAAUGAAGAAAAAAAAAAGGCAAUGAAGAUGAAAGUUUG
rnacentral:lncRNA from 1 species